UACGUAGGUGGCAAGCGUUGUCCGGAUUUACUGGGCGUAAAGAGCACGCAGGCGGUCGUUCAAGUCGCGUGUGAAAGCCCCCGGCUCAACUGGGAGGUCACGCGAUACUGAUCGACUCGAAGGCAGGAGAGGGUAGUGGAAUUCCCGGUGUAGUGGUGAAAAUGCGUAGAUAUCGGGAGGAACACCAGUGGCGAAAGCGGCUUCCUGGUCCAGCACCGACGUUCAGCACGAAAGCGUGGGGAGCAAAGCAGGAUUGAGAA
rnacentral:rRNA from 1 species